rnacentral:rRNA from 1 species
CCUAUCAACUGUCGAUGGCCCUGUAAGCGCCAACCGUGGUGGCAACGGGUAACGAGGAAUCAGGAUUCGAUUCUG